GUCUCAUAAAAAUUCUAAACUGAUUAUGGCAAAUUUCCCCCUUUACUUACAUAACUAAAAGUCAAAUACACAUAUUCUCAGAAGGCGUCUUAUAUUCCCCGUCUCCCCAAAACCAUGAGGAAGAAGUCUGCUUGGCAGGGUACCUCCCUCUAUUCAUCCUCCCUGGAAGAAGAAACUCCAAGGGAGGUUCCCGACCUACUCCACGCCCCCUCACCUCCUCUGCUGCCAUUUUAUCACCAUCACAGGAUCCAACAGGGCGGACAGCACUUCCUCAGUCAGCCCAGCCCUGCAGAGCAUGGCUUGCUUUCUCACAAGGAGCUGGAGGCUCGAUUUUCCACAGAGCCUGGCAAAAUGUCUAUGAUCUGCGACUGAAGGAAAUACCUGAGACCUAACUGAUACCCCCACCCAGCUUUCUGACAUGACUAUGCCUCUAGUCAAACAGAGGAAGUCCCAUUCGGGCUCUGGAACAAAGGAGGUAUUCUAGAACGUUCCUCAGGAAAAGCUUGAUAAACCCAAACACACCAGACACAGCUGACAUCUUUAUCCCCGACACCGGUUACUUCUGCUUUAUUUUGUUCUCUGUGGCUCACUGUAUUAGAGCAGCACCUUCUGGCUAGACGGAGAUGUGGAAAGGCUGUAAGAACAGAACAGCAUCCCACCACAGGCCUGUCCCCAGCUUCGAAGGCAGACACGAGGAGCUGAGCCUUUUCUUCUGUCCCCAGGGGACUGUGGAGAGCGCUCUGUGUUCAGUGAGUUUCUUUCUCUACAGCAAUGGCUGACACCUGUGUCUCUAGUUUAUCUCUGUCUUCACUAAUUAGCAUCUUCUAAGUAUGCUAAGGCUGUCCUUGUAACAAGGGUGGUACUAGAGACUGAACUUGAGAGUCCUCUAGUAGUCGUGGGCAUCGCUUUCUGCAUGGCGUGGCCCUUACUGGCUGCUAUAUCUUUCUUGUCUGUCUUAACCAUUCAAUUACACUAAUUCACGAAAAUGGAAAACUAUUAAUUAUGCUAGGCUAGGCAUUCUGACUCAUACCUAUAAUUCCAGCACUCGGGAGGCUGGGGUGGGCAGAUUGCUAAGCAUUCUAGGCUGGCCUGGGCUACACAGUAAAACAGGGUGGGAAGAAAAGAAAAGUUAUGGUCAGGACCAAGUAUCUUAGGGUGAUGGCUGCAAAGUUAGCCAUUUGACCUUGGUUUCUUCUUCCCCACACAGGAGAAAGUCUCCCUAGAGUUGGACCUUGAGGGACAGAGAAGACUUUCAAGUAAGCCUUAAGUUGUGCUUAGAGGAGAC
rnacentral:lncRNA from 1 species